AAGUCGUAACAAGGUUUCCGUAGGUGAACCUGCGGAAGGAUCAUUAGUGAAUCUUCAAAAGUCGGCUCGUCGGAUUGUGCCGGUGGAGACACAUGUGCACGUCUUGCGAGUCGCAAACCCACACACCUGUGCAUCUAUGACUCUGAGUGCCGCUUUGCAUGGCCUUGAUUGGCCUGGCGCUCGAGUACUUUUCACACACUCUUGAAUGUAAUGGAAUGUCUUGUUGUGCGUAAUGUACAAAUCGAAACAACUUUCAACAACGGAUCUCUUGGUUCUG
rnacentral:misc_RNA from 1 species